rnacentral:rRNA from 1 species
CCUACGGGUGGCAGCAGUAGGGAAUAUUGCUCAAUGGGGGAAACCCUGAAGCAGCAACGCCGCGUGGAGGAUGAAGUUUUUCGGAUUGUAAACUCCUUUUGUUAGAGAAGAUAAUGACGGUAUCUAAUGAAUAAGCACCGGCUAACUCCGUGCCAGCAGCCGCGGUAAUACGGAGGGUGCAAGCGUUACUCGGAUUCACUGGGCGUAAAGAGCGCGUAGGCGGGAUAGCAAGUCAGAUGUGAAAUCCUAUGGCUUAACCAUAGAACUGCAUUUGAAACUGUUAUUCUAGAGUGUGGGAGAGGUAGGUGGAAUUCUUGGUGUAGGGGUAAAAUCCGUAGAGAUCAAGAGGAAUACUCAUUGCGAAGGCGACCUGCUAGAACAUAACUGACGCUGAUGCGCGAAAGCGUGGGGAGCAAACAGGAUUAGAUACCCGAGUAGUC